UACGAAGGGGGCUAGCGUUGCUCGGAAUGACUGGGCGUAAAGGGCGCGUAGGCGGAUGGCACAGUCAGAUGUGAAAUUCCCGGGCUUAACCUGGGGGCUGCAUUUGAUACGUGUUGUCUUGAGUUCGGAAGAGGGUCGUGGAAUUCCCAGUGUAGAGGUGAAAUUCGUAGAUAUUGGGAAGAACACCGGUGGCGAAGGCGGUUCUCUGGGCAUUACCUGACGCUGAGGAGCGAAAGUGUGGGGAGCGAACAGG
rnacentral:rRNA from 1 species